GGCCACUGGAGAAGAGACUUUAGGUGUCUUGCCGGAUUAUUUACAGAAGCUGACUUUUUAUUAUUCAUCAAGUUAGCUGUGUCAAAUUCACUUGCUUCACUCAAGCAUGUACUGUAAUUGUCACUUGUUAGCUCGCAACUGGCAUCAGAUGCAUUUUCGAUACCGGUGUACAAGAAUAUCUCUGCAUCAGGAAUUCUGAAAGAAGUGCCAGGACUGCAUCCUAUACCAUGCCCUCUCAAUUGGAAAGCAAUAGCACUUCUAGCCACAUUAUCCUGACAAUUACAUAUCCCUCCAGCUGAAAUCAACCGCUUGAUGAUAAUUUCAGAGGAGGCUUUUCUUGGCUGUUGGCUGAGGAGAUCUAGUGGAGUCAUGCCAUUAACAUCACAAAUAUUUAAAUCAACGGAUGGUACCGUCAUGAGAAGUUCCACCAGAUUAGAUUGAAUAUUUUCAAUUACAGCCAUGUGAAGGGCCGUUCUUCCAUCAUUGUUCUUGACAUUGAUGAUGCCUUGGAUGUUUACAAUCUUACCACUCACUAACUGCUUCACGAGCUCUAUCUGCCUAUCUACUCUACGAAAGCCUGGGCUUCGAAAACCUGACACUGCCAUGUGGAGAAAAGUAUCUCCAUAUUUGUUUGUUAUGGAGAUUAAUGAAGGAGAUGCAAGAAUCAGAACCUCUGCAACAGCUAAGUAACCCCUGUAAGCAGCUAUAUGUAAUGCCGUGUUUCCUUGAUAAUCAAUGGAGGUGAUAAGUCCAAAGGAUGCCAUUAUAUCCUUAACUACCUGCACAAGCAAGAUGAUAAACUCAGUCAACUUGCCAUUCCCCAGAAUAUCCAAGAAGAGUCUUAAGGGGACCAUGAGGAACAAGUUAAUAUUUAUCUCCCCAUAAGCACAGAUAAAAAAGGAGAGACAUCUAAUCAACAUGCUUGAGAAAGGCUCUAGAUAGGGAAGACUACUAAGAGUUCAUACAACAUGAUCAAUUAGUCCAUAGUCAUAAUGUAUUAUAUGCUAUCCAUCUAACAGAGAAGUAAGAAUUCCAAUGGCUCUAUUCUUAAGAGAAUGUGAAAACAGGAAACUCUUGCAGUAAGAAACGCCUGACAGAAAUUAAGUUGAGACUCAGGAAAAAUUUUGAAGACCUGUCAAUGGAUCUGGACAUUCAAGGGCUAAUACCAUUUAUGACCAGAAGAGGCCGACACUCCUUUCACAAGUUUGAGUUUUUAGUUCAACAUCAAUACAGGAUUUUUGUUUGCUAGAAUUAGCCUUUAAACCACCAGAAUGUUAACGAGAUGCUGCAAGAUAAAGUCACAUUUCUACUUCCAAAGAUAGCAGUACAAAGACAUAAUGCAAAUUUGGAUGACAAUGGGUUGUCACAUUUUCCCUCAUUUUUGAGGAACCAGUAAUGUACUUGGUUCAUAAGUAUGCAGGAAGAUUAAGUUAAUUUUAGCAUGCAACAAUACCAUCAAUCAGCAUUCAUCAGAGUUAAAUUCUAAAUUAGUAGUUGGUUGUCUUUAGCACUCAGAGUGUCAGCAUGUCCAAGUCAUACCCACAAAAAUUUGUUUCUUCAUACCUUUCAACAAGUUUCAGAUUUCCUAUCUGACAUGAACACCUUCAACUCAAAUGGACAAGCAAACCUUCAUGUUAAUCUAUUCUCAGGACAGAAGUGGAUAAAAUGUAGCAAAUUAAGUCUCAGGUUAUGUAAGACAUGGAAUGGAUCAAUGGAAUGGGGGACCCUAUCGUUUAGCUUAUCCAACAUAAUCUAGAAAUCUAAAAUUUAUCACCAGCCUUAGACGCUUAAGCUUCGAGAAAUUGGCCAACAACUGAAACAAUUACCGCCUGAACGAUAUAGUCGCAAACUAAUACUCAUUCCAAGUAAGAAUGAAGUAAUGGUAACUAGUAAACUAAAAUGAUCAAGCAGGAUACAAAAUAUCAGUGGAUAAAUUAAGCAUCUGAUAAGCAUGAAAUGAAUAGUCCCUGCUCCCUACCUCAACCUGCCCUCUGCCUGAGGCAGUAUGCAAGACAGUGGACCCUUGAGCAUCUCUAUAAACCAAGACACCAGAGCAAUCUCCAAGAAGCUCCUUCAAAAUCUUCAAAUUUCCACCUCUAGCCACAGCAUGAACAGCUCUAUUCAUCAUCUCCUUUCUAAAAUCUGCAUAGUUCUCACCCAGCUGCUCCUCCAACUCUUCACCAGAGUUCAGGCCACAACUCCGCGAAAUUGCGAAAUUAAGGAGGAGCUUAAAAACAUCAGAAUUUUUGCUCCUGGCUGCAGCAUAAAGUAUGUCAGUAACACCAUAUUCUCCCUCCCCAAAAACAAGAAGAGGGUCUCUCUCCAACAAUUCCUUGACAAAGCUCACAUCACCGGCUGAGGCAGCAGUGUACAGGAGCCAACCACCAUAGCCAGCUCUAAUGAGAGUGUUAUGACCUCUCCUUGUUUCACAUUCUAGGAGUAGCUUCUUGGCCACCAAAGCACGACAGCUGGCAAUACCAUUGAACUGUUCCUCGUCAUCCCAGACGGUUUCAAGGCGGCGAAUUCGGCGAAGGGAGGUGAGUUUGAUUAGGAGAUUGGUGUCAAGGUAGAGAAGCUCCCUCACCAAGUCAUAGUGACCAUUGGCUGCUGCAAAAUCAAUCGGUGAUGCAUACCACCAUUGGUCUCCGGUGCUCUCCCACCUAAGAGGGAAGUAUGAAGAUGGCAUUUUAGCCUAGAAUCAGUAACAAAUUUAUUAGCUAUUAGUAGAGUUUACUGAAGACCCAGUUCAGGUUUUAAACUUUUAAACCAACAAAAGACGCACAAUUCAAGAAUGCAAGAGGAGUUGUGGAAAUGAGAGCAACUGUAAAAGUUAAAAGGCCAUUAUCCAGUUACUGAUUCUUUUCUCUAAAAUAAAGCAAAAAUAAAGAAUCUUGGAAUCGAGGAAUAAGAAUCAGCUAAUUAGCAGGACUUAGAAGAGGAAGGAUGGGUUGGGGUUGACAGAGAGAGGAACCAUUGGAUUAUAAUACGAGAAAACAGAGAAAACCCAUUAUUGUGAUCCCAAUGAACAGUUGAUAGAGGGAAAAGGAGAAAGAAACGAAACAAAAAGAGACAUUAUUGCUCAAGCGAGACUGAAAUACAAAAAGAAGAAAAAGCAGAGCCUUUGAGGUAAAAUUUGAGAAGACAAAAGAGGAGGGGAAGAUUGCUCAGUUAAAGGAAGGAAGAAAGACACCAACCUUUGAACAGCGUGGUUGCAGAAGAUAACAAAACAAGAAAGAAAGGACCACUUGAUUAUGGAUUUGUGGUCAAUCUCUUACGGUCGGUGGAGAAAAAAAAACACUAAAAACUAAAAAAGUAAGCACUAAAAGGGCCUAGAUUCCUUUAUCUCGUGAGAGAGAAAGCAAUCAUGCAGGUGAUGACUGAACAUGAAAGGGUCCUAUGCGUUUGCUUUCUUCACAGGGAAAUGACAUUCGACAAAAAAUUACAGGAAAAUGAGAAAUGUGACAAUCAGGACGAGUAGAAGCGGUUGUAACUUGACUCGAUGGAACCCGAUCCUUUUAUGUAUAAGUCAGGAUAGGCACGGCUCAAGAUGAUUUCGCUGGCCUCUACAUUUGAUCUAUUAAGCAAAAGACCGGUUUGAGAUAUACUCGCUGGCAGAUG
rnacentral:misc_RNA from 1 species